rnacentral:rRNA from 1 species
UACGAAGGGUGCUAGCGUUAUUCGGAAUCACUGGGCUUAAAGCGCACGUAGGCGGACUCUUAAGUCAGGGGUGAAAUCCUGGAGCUCAACUCCAGAACUGCCUUUGAUACUGGGAGUCUUGAGUCCGGAAGAGGUAAGCGGAACUGCGAGUGUAGAGGUGAAAUUCGUAGAUAUUCGCAAGAACACCAGUGGCGAAGGCGGCUUACUGGUCCGGAACUGACGCUGAGGUGCGAAAGCGUGGGGAGCAAACAGG